rnacentral:misc_RNA from 1 species
AGCUCAGCAAACUCUUGAAAUAGCGGAAGCUAAUGUGAAAAAGGCUGAAGGAAGGAGACAAAAAAUUGAGGCAAAUCUAGCUCUCCGACGAGCUAGAACACGGGUGGAGGCUAGCAAUCCGAUUUCAUAACUAGUUGGUACGUUCGAAUAAUAAAAAGAAGUUCUCUUUCUAAUCCUAUUUAGAUUCUGUCGGGUGAAUACAAUCAAAUACAAUCAAACAGAAUCCAAUUCUGAUGCAAAAAUUCAAAUUAAAAAAUGAAAUAGAAAAGAUACAAAAUAAAAAAAAAAAAUAUCACUAAAGGUGGGUUGUAAACCUUAUU